rnacentral:snRNA from 1 species
GGAUGUGAGGACGAUCUGGCUGCAACAUCUGUCACCCCAUUGAUCGCCAGGGUUGAUUCGGCUAAUCUGGCUGGCUAGGCAGGUGUCCCCUUCCUCCCUCACCGCUCCAUGUGCGUCCCUCCUGAAGCUGCGCGCUUGGUCGAAGAGGACGAUCAUCCCCGAUAGAGGAGGACCGUUCUUUCGUCAAGGGUAUACGAGUAGCUGCGCUCCCCUGCUAGAACCUCUAAACAAGCUCUCAUGCAGGGAGCCCAACGUGGGACUCCAUCC